rnacentral:rRNA from 1 species
AGUAUCCUACGGGACGCAGCAGUAGGGAAUCUUCCACAAUGGACGAAAGUCUGAUGGAGCAACGCCGCGUGAGUGAAGAAGGGUUUCGGCUCGUAAAGCUCUGUUGGGAGUGAAGAAAGAUAGAGGGAGUAACUGGCCUUUAUUUGACGGUAAUUACUUAGAAAGUCACGGCUAACUACGUGCCAGCAGCCGCGGGAAUACGUAGGUGGCAAGCGUUGUCCGGAUUUAUUGGGCGUAAAGC